rnacentral:rRNA from 1 species
UACAGAGACUGCAAGCGUUAUUCGGAUUUACUGGGCGUAAAGGGUGCGCAGGCGGCCAAUUGUGUGAGGCGUGAAAUCCUGGAGCUUAACUCCAGAAUUGCACCUCAAACUACAUGGCUAGAGCAUUGGAGAGGGUAGCGGAAUUCACGGUGUAGCAGUGAAAUGCGUAGAUAUUGUGAGGAACACCAGAGGCGAAGGCGGCUCCCUGGACAAUUGCUGACGCUCAGGCACGAAAGCGUGGGGAGCAAAAGGG